rnacentral:tRNA from 1 species
GCCACCCUAGCUCAGCUGGUAGAGCAAUGCUUUCGUAAAGCAUAGGUCGUCGGUUCGAAUCCGAUGGGUGGCU